rnacentral:rRNA from 1 species
CCUACGGGUGGCAGCAGUGAGGAAUAUUGGUCAAUGGACGAGAGUCUGAACCAGCCAAGUAGCGUGAAGGAUGACUGCCCUAUGGGUCGUAAACUUCUUUUAUAAAGGAAUAAAACGAGGCACGUGUGCCUUUUUGCAUGUACUUUAUGAAUAAGGAUCGGCUAACUCCGUGCCAGCAGCCGCGGUAAUACGGAGGAUCCGAGCGUUAUCCGGAUUUAUUGGGUUUAAAGGGAGCGUAGAUGGGUUGUUAAGUCAGUUGUGAAAGUUUGCGGCUCAACCGUAAAAUUGCAAUUGAUACUGGCAGUCGUGAGUACAGUUGAGGUAGGCGGAAUUCGUGGUGUAGCGGUGAAAUGCUUAGAUAUCACGAAGAACCCCGAUUGCGAAGGCAGCUUACUAAACUGUGACUGACAUUGAUGCUCGAAAGUGUGGGUAUCAAACAGGAUUAGAUACCCGAGUAGUC